rnacentral:miRNA from 1 species
UGACUGGACGUUCAUCGGUG